GCCAUAGCUCAGUGAUAGAGCACCUGCUUUGCGUGCAGAAGGUCCCAGGUUCAACUCCUGGCAUCUCCA